GGAUGGUCUGGAAGUCGUCUAGGAAGAUAUCUCGUAUCUUCCUGUUUCUUGAAGUUUCAGAGACAAUAGAAUACUAGACAUUACAGUUAAAUAUCUGCAGAGCUACAUAGGAAAUAUCACAGGGUGCAGUUAUCAGAGGGAUUCUGUAAUUACAUAUUAUCGUCAAGUUAGGAUACACUUUGUGCAACGUGCUCAUGGACGCUGUGUCUGGAGAUGGAGAGAGGCCCAACGUGCAGAGACAGCAUGUUACAGAGCUGCAGAACUGAAUAGUGCAUUCUUUUUCAAGAAGUGUCAAUUAAUGGAUCAGGUAGACCAUGUCACCAUUGUGGCUCAUCAGGCACCUCUGGCGUAAAAUUGGUGAAUUGCAGACAUUUUUUUGAGCAGAUGGAUGCACAAAAUUUGCCAUAUAUGAAUGAUGAACUUGAAUACUUGGAAAAUCAUCUGACAAGUUAUGGUAAAACAGAUGAUAUAAAAAAAGGACAAAGCAUUCAUUUUUUAAAUGUUAAAAGUAAUAUAAGCAAAGGUAAUAAAAAGCACACAAUAUAGAAGAUAUAUCUUUGUAAACAAACAAUUCUUGGUUAGCAGGAAUGUUUGAAAUCCCAUGAAAUGUUUAGUGACCCAAAAUCGCCCAGCUCGACUCAGCAAAUCAUUUGGGGAAUUAAGUGAGAGAAGUGGAGGAAAAAUGAGGAACAUCAUUCUGCUGUGGACGAAGACAUAAUUGUUAUGCAGCGUACGCUGUUUUACAAAAGGGUAAAUGCUUCAAAAAUGAUUAAAGAUAACCAGUUUCCCAAAUAAGUGUGAACGAAUAUAAAAAACAUUUCUGAAACAAAGGAAGAUAUUCUCCUGAUACCACAGCAAGUGUUGAUACUGUUUGUCAAUACCAAUUUAAUGAAAUAAUAAGAGCUCCAAACAAAAAUGUUACCCACUUUAUGAAUUACUCUUGAAGACUAAAAGAACGUUAUCUUCCUUGGAAUCGGUAAGUAUAAUUGCUACCAGUGCUGAAAGUGACAAGUCUCUAAUGAAUUCUACGGUUAUCAAUUUACCUGGAAGAUGUCUUAGCCAUACUAACUGAAAAUGGGAGAAAUUCGCUAGGGCUAAUUUACAAAUGUGGUUUGUGGUGGGUCAAAAUAAGCUCAUUUCAAGCAGAAAUUUACCAACAAUAAAGACUUAGACGCUAAUAUAAUUGUUAGUUCCUUUGUGAUAUUUAACUUGCUUAUUGUUUUUGUAAAAGAGAAGAGAAGAAAAAAAUUUGUUUAGCAACUUACAGACUCCCUUCAAUCUGAAGGAGUAAAUGUAACCUUUUUUGGGUAACGUGUCAUCUUGGAAUUUCUAGAAAGGAGCUGGCAAAUAAAGGAGCUAAAGAAGCUUGUACACUUCAACCUUUCUCCACAAGGAUCAGACAUUGUCUCUGUGAUGAAGGCGAAAAUAAAAAUUGCGUGGAGUUACAAUCGGCGGGCUGUUGAUAAUAACAUGCUAAGAUUAAAAGGACAAGUGUUAUACCAUAGAACACAGCGUCCCGGCGGAAUGGUUAUAAGGAGGUAGUGUUGUGUCGUCUUCGACUAGGACACUCUGUUGACUCACGGCUACAUCAUAAGCAUCCGGCUAAUAUGCACCAUAUGCAACACUACUGUUAUAGUGUCCCUAUUCCACAUGCAACACUACUGUUAUAGUGUCCUUAUUCCACAUGCAACACUACUGAUGUAGUGUCCCUAUUCCAAAUGCAUCACUACUGUUGUUGUGUCCCAAUUCCAAAUGCAACACUACUGUUGUAGUGUCCCUAUUCCUCGUGCAACACUACUGUUGUAGUGUCCCUAUUCCUCGUGCAACACUAUUGUUGUAGUGUCCCUAUUCCAAAUGCAACACUAAUGUUGUAGUGUCCCUAUUCCACAUGCAACACUAAUGUUGUAGUGUCCCUAUUCCUCAUGCAUCACUACUGUUGUAGUGUCCCUAUUCCACAUGCAACACUACUGUUGUAGUGUCCCAAUUCCAAAUGCAACACUACUGUUGUAGUGUCCCUAUUCCUCGUGCAACACUACUGUUGUAGUGUCCCUAUUCCUCGUGCAACACUACUGUUGUAGUGUCCCUAUUCCUCGUGCAACACUACUGUUGUAGUGUCCCUAUUCCACAUGCAACAAUACUGUUGUAUCCCAAUUCCAAAUGCAACACUACUCUUGUAGUGUCCCUAUUCCUCGUGCAACACUACUGUUGUAGUGUCCCUAUUCCACAUGCAACACUACUGUUGUAGUGUCCC